GUGAGGAAUAUUGGUCAAUGGACGAGAGUCUGAACCAGCCAAGUAGCGUGAAGGAUGACUGCCCUAUGGGUUGUAAACUUCUUUUAUACGGGAAUAAAGUUAGCCACGUGUGGCUUUUUGUAUGUACCGUAUGAAUAAGGAUCGGCUAACUCCGUGCCAGCAGCCGCGGUAAUACGGAGGAUCCGAGCGUUAUCCGGAUUUAUUGGGUUUAAAGGGAGCGUAGGCGGGUUGUUAAGUCAGUUGUGAAAGUUUGCGGCUCAACCGUAAAAUUGCAGUUGAUACUGGCGACCUUGAGUGCAACAGAGGUAGGCGGAAUUCGUGGUGUAGCGGUGAAAUGCUUAGAUAUCACGAAGAACUCCGAUUGCGAAGGCAGCUUACUGGAUUGUAACUGACGCUGAUGCUCGAAAGUGUGGGUAUCAAACAGGA
rnacentral:rRNA from 1 species